GCAGAUGUGGUGGAACGGCAUACACAACGGACUUAAAAUCCGUCGGCGAAAGCUUGAGAGUUCGAAUCUCUCCAUCUGCACCA
rnacentral:tRNA from 1 species